rnacentral:tRNA from 1 species
UAAGAAAUAAGCAGAUUUUGUUUUAGUUUGUCGUACUAAAGGAUUAUUUCUUAA